UUUUCCGACUUAGGACUAUGGCCUCAUGUUUGGUGGUGCUGAUUUUCACCCCAGCUGCUUCGCACUCGACUGCAAACUGCUCCAGUGAGAGUUGGAGAUCACAGCUUAUCAAAACUAUCACAACCACUUUAUAUGCAAAAAGCAGCAACAUGAUACUGAUGUCACCAAAGUGGACUGCCACAACACCUCACCUGCGCCUAAAAAUUCUAUCUAUAAAGGUAAUGAACAGAAUCUGUGACAAAGGGCAGCCUUGGCUGAGUCCAACUUUUGCUGGAAAGGAAUCCAAUUUACUGCUGGCCAUGCAAAAACCCCAAAACCGGUUGUUCACGGAUGAUACAGAAACGAACAGUCUGGAUCUGGUGGUCCGAUACACAGUACUCCCAUCCACCACUAGACUCCUCAAGGGAAAUGGUCGAACCCCUUUUUCAAGGCCACAAAACGCAUGUAGACUGUUUGACCGAACUCCCAUGCACUGUCAAGGAUACUGCCAAGAGUUUAGGGCUGGUUCUCUGUAGCGUGGCCUGGACGAAAGCCAGACUGCUCCUCCUAAAUCUGCGAUUUGACUUCCUGAUGGACCCUCCCAUCCAGAAACCCAGGGAGGCCUAGGAAUGUCAUCCCCUAUAGUUGGAACACAACCUCCAGUCUCUUUUGUUAAAAAGGGGAACCACCACCCUGAGCUGCCAUUCCAAAGGCACUCUCCCUGAUGUCCAUACAAUGUUCCAGAGAUGUGUCAACCAGGACAACCCCACAAAAUCUAAAGGCUUUUGGAACUCAGAGCACUUUUCAUCCACCCCUGUGGCACUGCUACCGGGGAGCUUUUUAAUCACCUCGGUGACCUCAACCGUGGAGAUAGAAGAAUCUAUCUUAGAGUCUCCAGACUCCGCUUCGACAUGGGAAGGUGUAUUGGUGGAAUUGAAGAGUUCUUCAAAGUAUUCGGAACACUGAUUCACAAUGUUCCGAACUGAGAUCCGAGGCGCAUCGUCCUCAUUAUAUAUUAUGUGUUGACGCUGCAGUGCUUCACCCUUCUAAGAGACUGGAUUGUGGACCAGAAUUUCUUCAUAGCCGUCUGCAGAUCGUUGUUCAUUGGCUCAUCGAACUCCUCCCACACCCAAGUUUUUGGUGUGCUCCGCUUGGCCAGUCUGUAUCCAUCAGCCGCCUCUUGAGUCUCAAAGCUCUUCACGGCAUCCCUUACUGCUGGUGUCCAUCAGUGGGUUCUUGUGGACUGCUGCCAUGACAGGCACCGAGAAGUUUUCGGCCGCAGCGCUGGUCGGGCACCUCAACAAUGGAGACGUGGAACAUGAGAAUGUCGGGAGGAGGAACAGUCACCUCCGCAUCGGCAGCACCACAACACCACCCACCCUUGUAGCAAUGUUUUCAUAUACAACUAAUAAACAGAUCAAUGUAUCCCCGGCUUUCAUCCUGUUGGGUGCGCUCUUUCUCCAUGACUGUGUGGUGGUCCAGUCAGUACUGUAAAGCAGAUCCUGAAAGAUUUUGUCAUCACCAAUGUUGGGUUCUUCAGCACUUCAUGACAGAAGUGUUUCAAUCAUGCGAGAUUGCAAGGAUGUUUGGGACUGAGAAUGGGUUUUAUUCUCAUAGGAAUUUACCAAAUAAGUGUUUUCAAAUAAGCAUCUGACCUUCUGUCCUCAUCCCGUCCUGUCUAAGUAAACCAGAAAGAAUCCUUGACUUGUGACAAGUGGAACUGCACCUAACCUUUGCAUGUUGUGUGCUUUCCUAGACUAUCACAAUAGAGAUCCAGAGCAGCAAUCAGGUCUACAUGGAGCUGGAAUCUGGGAGGAAACUAUGUAUACAUCUCCAGUUGAACCUUUACUGGUUACAUUCUGUGUCCCUCAUAUGAGAUUAUUUUUCUGUUCAAUCUUAAGAAAAACAAGAGUUGCCUCUCUGAGGUGGAUAUACGUACAUUUUUGCAAUUUUAUAUGUAAGCAUUUACAUUUUGUUGUUGUUGUUUGUUGGAAUGUCUGCAAAACCAAUUUGUGCAAUCAGUAAACACAACACAGGACAGCUUGGUUCAAAGUGUGUGUGUACCAUUACAUUUGGAAAAAUUUAUUCUUGGUAAAAUUUGCUUUCUAGUCCUAAAGUGGUACUUUGGCGUCAUCUUGUGGCAUCUCGAAGAAACUAACUGCGCCACAAGGAUCAAUAAAGACCUCUGAGUUUGAUUGUGAAUUAUCCAAACCUUUUUAGAGGGUAUAUACACACUAGAGUAUCUUGAAGCAGAAAAAAAACUGUCCCAACACUUGUCCUUUGCCUUAUCUCUGUUCUAUCAUCUAUGGUAGGUUUGCACGAUAGACCUGAAUAAAUAUGAACUGU